GUCCUGAUCUCCCCAUCAACCACAUGAACCAAUACAUCAAGGAAUUGGAGUUCCUUCUCUGAUACUGUAUCAGUGAACUGCAGACCAGGAACGCCCAUAUUUAAAUGGGCAUGAAAACUGUCCAGUUCAUCUGUAUAGAGCAGGGGUUCA